rnacentral:lncRNA from 1 species
GCGGACGUCCGCACUUCGCUAAAGUGCAGACGCCGGUGCUGCAGCCCAGUUCAGGCGUCGACGGCGGCGCGAAUCGGAAGGAGGCCGGAAGCAUCCCAGAAGGCUUCUGGGCACCAUUCGAGGUCGGAGGAGGUCGGGGUUGUCGGUUUCUGGGCAGCCACCUCACCUGCAACUGCAGGUUCUGUGGAGCACCUGAAAACCCGUCGCCGGCGACUCCACUCGACCGCAAACCCCUCCGCGCGCACGACCCCUGGCCUCCCUCCGGCAAGCCGCGCCGCGCCGUCGUGGCCUGAGUUGGGCUGUAGCGCCGUCGUCCGCACUUUAGCGAAAGUGCGGACGUCCUUUUUGGAACGCGUCCGU